rnacentral:rRNA from 1 species
AUUGAACGCUGGCGGCAGGCCUAACACAUGCAAGUCGAACGAGUGGCGGACGGGUGAGUAAUGUCUGGGAAACUGCCCGAUGGAGGGGGAUAAAUACUGGAAACGGUAGCUAAUACCGCAUACCAGCGGAUGUGCCCAGAGGGGAUGAGCUAGUAGGUGGGGUAACGGCUCACCUAGGCGACGAUCCCUAGCUGGUCGGAGCGGAUGACCAGCAACACUGGAACGGAGACACGGUCCAGACUCCUACGGGAGGCAGCGGUGGGGAAUAUGGCACAAUGGGCGCAAGCCGGAUGCAGCCAGGCCGCGUGUAUGAAGAAGGCCUUCGGGUUGUAAAGUACUUUCAGCGAGGAGGCGUUACUCGCAGAAGAGGCACCGGCUAACUCCGUGCCAGCAGCCGCGAUAAUUC